AUUUAAUUAGUAUAAAUUAGUACAUUUAACUUCCAAUUAAAAAGUUUAAUAAAAUUAAAUA
rnacentral:tRNA from 1 species